AUGAGGGGGAGACAUCCAGAAGCCAAGUACCUGAGACAGGACCCCAGCAGCUCCACCAUGGACUUGGUGCCAAGCUGCAUUUUCCUCCUGAUCAUUCUUCAAGGUGUCCAGUGUGAGGUGCAGCUGGUGGAGUCUGGGGGAGGCUUGGUGCAGCCUGGGGGGUCUCUGAGACUCUCCUGUGCAGCCUCUGGAUUCACCUUCAGUGACUAUGAAAUGGACUGGGUCCGCCAGGCUCCAGGGAAGGGACUGGAGUGGGUCUCAGGCAUUACUAAUACAGGUGGAAGCACACACUAUUCCAACUCUGUGAAGGGCCCAUUCACCAUCUCCAGAGACAACGCCAAGAACACGCUGUAUCUGCAAAUGAACAGCCUGAGAGCCCAGGACAAGGCGGUGUAUUACUGUACAGCAGACACACAGUGA